rnacentral:lncRNA from 1 species
CGUCUCCGCACAACGACUCCGCCCAUACUUUCAGGUGCACGCCAUUGUGGUUCUCACCAACCUGCCCCUGAGGGCGAUAUUGCGUCGACCCGACACAUCGGGAUGACUGGCGAAGUGGGCAAUGAAGCUCAGCGAGUUCGACAUACAGUACUGACCACGACCUGCCUUAAAGGCCUAGGUCCUGGCCGACUUCAUCGUAGAAUGCCUGACAGCCGACUAAGGG